rnacentral:misc_RNA from 1 species
AAGUCGUAACAAGGUUUCCGUAGGUGAACCUGCGGAAGGAUCAUUAUCAACGUAUCCACGUUUAUAAACCAAAUCGUGAAUUGUUUUAUUUGACCUUUGGGUUAUCGGCCGCUAUCAGUCGACGCAUAGAGUUCAUUGUAUGGUUAUGGGCUCGUCCUGAUAAUUGAGGCUGUCUCUCCAAAGCGUAGCUAAUCAUACGUUAAUUUCAUUAUUAACCAAUUGAACCCCUUUUAUUUUUUUAUACUUUGUUUGAACUGAUUUGUUUCUUUACUUGGCGCUUCACGGCGUCGAGAAGGAAAAUAAAUUACGAAACAAUGAUAAGAACAACUCUUAGCAACGGAUAUCUUGGUUCUC